rnacentral:rRNA from 1 species
GAUGAACGCUAGCGGCAGGCCUAACACAUGCAAGUCGAGGGGCAGCACAGAAACAGCAAUGUUUUGGUGGCGACCGGCGGACGGGUGCGUAACGCGUAUGCAACCUACCUUUAACAGGGGGAUAACGGAGAGAAAUUUCCACUAAUACCCCAUAACAUCGAUCAAGGCAUCUUGAUUGGUUGAAAACUCCGGUGGUUAAAGAUGGGCAUGCGUUGUAUUAGGUAGUUGGUGAGGUAAUGGCCCACCAAGCCUACGAUAGAUAGGGGGACUGGGAGGUUAGCCCCCCACACUGGUACUGAGACACGGACCAGACUCCUACGGGAGGCAGCAGUGAGGAAUAUUGGUCAAUGGGGGCAACCCUGAACCAGCCAUGCCGCGCGCAGGAAGACGGCUCUAUGAGUUGUAAACUGCUUUUAAACAGGGAUAAAGCACAGUAUGUAUACUGUGUUGAAGGUACUGUAAGAAUAAGGAUCGGCUAACUCCGUGCCAGCCGCCGCGGUAA